rnacentral:rRNA from 1 species
UACGUAGGGUGCAAGCGUUAUCCGGAAUCACUGGGCGUAAAGCGUGCGCAGGCGGCUUUGCAAGACAGAUGUGAAAUCCCCGGGCUUAACCUGGGAACUGCAUUUGUGACUGCAUGGCUGGAGUGCGGCAGAGGGGGAUGGAAUUCCGCGUGUAGCAGUGAAAUGCGUAGAUAUGCGGAGGAACACCGAUGGCGAAGGCAAUCCCCUGGGCCUGCACUGACGCUCAUGCACGAAAGCGUGGGGAGCAAACAGG